UACGUAGGCAGCAAGCGUUGUUCGGAGUUACUGGGCGUAAAGGGUGUGUAGGCGGUCUUCUAAGUUUGGUGUGAAAUCUCCCGGCUCAACUGGGAGGGUGCGCCGAAAACUGGGAGGCUAGAGUGCGGGAUGGGAGAGUGGAAUUCCUGGUGUAGCGGUGAAAUGCGCAGAUAUCAGGAGGAACACCGGUGGCGAAGGCGGGUCUCUGGGCCGGAACUGACGCUGGAGGAGCGAAAGCGUGGGGAGCGAACAGG
rnacentral:rRNA from 1 species